rnacentral:rRNA from 1 species
AUACGGAGGAUGCGAGCGUUAUCCGGAUUUAUUGGGUUUAAAGGGAGCGCAGACGGGUCGUUAAGUCAGCUGUGAAAGUUUGGGGCUCAACCUUAAAAUUGCAGUUGAUACUGGCGUCCUUGAGUGCGGUUGAGGUGUGCGGAAUUCGUGGUGCAGCGGUGAAAUGCUUAGAUAUCACGAAGAACUCCGAUUGCGAAGGCGGCACACUAAGCCGUAACUGACGUUCAUGCUCGAAAGUGUGGGUAUCAAACAGGAUUAGAUACCCUGGUAGUCCACACGGUAAACGAUGGAUACUCGCUGUUGGCGAUAUACAGUCAGCGGCUUAGCGAAAGCGUUAAGUAUCCCACCUGGGGAGUACGCCGGCAACGGUGAAACUCAAAGGAAUUGACGGGGGCCCGCACAAGCGGAGGAACAUGUGGUUUAAUUCGAUGAUACGCGAGGAACCUUACCCGGGCUUAAAUUGCAAAGGAAUAAUCUGGAAACAGGUUAGUCUUCGGACCUUUGUGAAGGUGCUGCAUGGUUGUCGUCAGCUCGUGCCGUGAGGUGUCGGCUUAAGUGCCAUAACGAGCGCAACCCUCGCCGCCAGUUACUAACAGGUAAUGCUGAGGACUCUGGCGGGACUGCCAUCGUAAGAUGUGAGGAAGGUGGGGAUGACGUCAAAUCAGCACGGCCCUUACGUCCGGGGCUACACACGUGUUACAAUGGGCGGUACAGAAGGCAGCUACCUGGCGACAGGAUGCCAAUCCCUAAAGCCGCUCUCAGUUCGGACUGGAGUCUGCAACCCGACUCCACGAAGCUGGAUUCGCUAGUAAUCGCGCAUCAGCCACGGCGCGGUGAAUACGUUCCCGGGCCUUGUACACACCGCCCGUCAAGCCAUGGGAGCCGGGGGUGCCUGAAGUUCGUGACCGCAAGGAGCGACCUAGGGCAAAACUGGUGACUGGGGCU